GUGCUCACUAAAGCAGCACAUAUACUAAGACUGGAACAAUUUUGUGAAGAUUAGUCUGGCCCUGCGCAAGGGUGACAUGCAAGUCUGUGAAGUAGUUCCAUGUAUUU